ACUCCUACGGGAGGCAGCAGUGGGGAAUAUUGCACAAUGGGGCGCAAGCCUGAUGCAGCCAUGCCGCGUGUAUGAAGAAGGCCUUCGGGUUGUAAAGUACUUUCAGCAGUGAGGAAGGUGGGUAUGUUAAUAGCAUACUCAUUUGACGUUAGCUGCAGAAGAAGCACCGGCUAACUCCGUGCCAGCAGCCGCGGUAAUACGGAGGGUGCGAGCGUUAAUCGGAAUUACUGGGCGUAAAGCGCAUGCAGGUGGUUUGUUAAGUCAGAUGUGAAAGCCCGGGGCUCAACCUCGGAAUUGCAUUUGAAACUGGCAAACUAGAGUACUGUAGAGGGGGGUAGAAUUUCAGGUGUAGCGGUGAAAUGCGUAGAGAUCUGAAGGAAUACCGGUGGCGAAGGCGGCCCCCUGGACAGAUACUGACACUCAGAUGCGGAAAGCGUGGGGAGCAAACAGGAUUAGAUACCCCCGGUAGGCGUAG
rnacentral:rRNA from 1 species